rnacentral:ncRNA from 1 species
AAAAGCACGCAGGGGGGCCCCGCCUAGGGGGCUGAGAGGCUGAUAGGCAUGUGCCGGUGACGCGACCCUUUGAACCUGACCCAGUUGAUACUGGCGUAGGAAGCUAGGACGCGCAGCCA